rnacentral:rRNA from 1 species
AACGAACGCUGGCGGCAUGCCUAACACAUGCAAGUCGAACGAGACCCCAACUUCGGUUGGACGUCUAGUGGCGCACGGGUGCGUAACGCGUGGGAAUCUGCCCUUAGGUUCGGAAUAACUCGGAGAAAUCCGAGCUAAUACCGGAUAAUGACGUAAGUCCAAAGAUUUAUACGCCUAAGGAUGAGCCCGCGUAGGAUUAGCUUGUUGGUGAGGUAAAGCUCACCAAGGCGACGAUCCUUAGCUGGUCUGAGAGGAUGAUCAGCCACACUGGACUGAGACACGGCCCAGACUCCUACGGAGGCAGCAGUGGGAAUAUUGGACAAUGGCGAAAGCCUGAUCCAGCAAUGCCGCGUGAGUGAUGAAGGCCUUAGGGUUGUAAAGCUCUUUUACCCGGGAUGAUAAUGACAGUACCGGGA